rnacentral:rRNA from 1 species
ACGGCUCAGUAACACGUGGAUAACCUGCCCUGCGGUGGGAAAUAACCCCGGGAAACUGGGGAUAAUGUCCCAUAGGCUACAGAUGCUGGAAUGCUCUGUAACUCAAAGAUUUAUCGCCACAGGAUGGGUCUGCGGCCGAUUAGGUAGUUGUUGGGGUAACGGCCCAACAAGCCUUUGAUCGGUACGGGUUGUGGGAGCAAGAGCCCGGAGAUGGAUUCUGAGACACGAAUCCAGGCCCUACGGGGCGCAGCAGGCGCGAAAACUUUACAAUGCGGGAAACCGUGAUAAGGGAACUCCGAGUGUCCGUAAAUGCGGACUGUCCGUAUGUCUAAAAAGCAUGCGAAGAAAGGGCCGGGCAAGACCGGUGCCAGCCGCCGCGGUAAUACCGGCGGCUCGAGUGGUGGCCACUAUUAUUGGGCUUAAAGCGUUCGUAGCUGGAUCGUUAAGUCUCUUGGGAAAUCUACCGGCUUAACCGAUAGGCGUCCAAGGGAUACUGGCGAUCUAGGGACCGGGAGAGGUGAGGGGUACUUCAGGGGUAGGAGUGAAAUCCUGUAAUCCUUGGGGGACCACCUGUGGCGAAGGCGCCUCACCAGAACGGCUCCGACAGUGAGGGACGAAAGCUGGGGGAGCAAACCGGAUUAGAUACCCGGGUAGUCCCAGCCGUAAACGAUGCGCGUUAGGUGUAUCGAUGACCACGAGUCAUCGAGGUGCCGAAGGGAAACCGUGAAACGCGCCGCCUGGGAAGUACGGUCGCAAGGCUGAAACUUAAAGGAAUUGGCGGGGGAGCAC